AGAGAGAGACAUGCGCGCAUAUCAAUAAGCGGAGGAAAAGAAACUAACUAGGAUUCCCCUAGUAACGGCGAGUGAAGCGGGAAGAGCUCAAAUUUGAAAUCUUAAAGGGUUUCCCUUUACGAAUUGUAGUUUAAAGAAGUGUUUUCUGUUGAGGUUUUGGUAAAAGUUCUUUGGAAUAGGACAUCAUAGAGGGUGAGAAUCCCGUAUUUGACCUUUACUUUCAACUUUGUGAUACACUUUCAAAGAGUCGGAUUGUUUGGGAAUGCAGUCCAAGAUGGGUGGUAAAUUUCAUCUAAAGCUAAAUAUUGGCGAGAGACCGAUAGCGAACAAGUACCGUGAGGGAAAGAUGAAAAGAACUUUGAAAAGAGAGUUAAACAGUACGUGAAAUUGUCAAAAGGGAAGCGUUUGACACCAGUGUUGUUUUUCUGAAAAUCAAUUAAAGAACUGUUUAUGCUAAGUUGUUUAGACUUUAUCAGCUAACUGUUUAGUUUUGAGCUUUUCUUUAAUGCACUUCUCAGUUAACAAGUCAACAUCAAUUUCUUUUGCUGUAAAAAAGCUUGAGGAAGGUGGCUUGAGAUUCGUCUUAAGUGUUUAUAGCCUCUUGCCUAUGCAGUCGGAGAGAUUGAGGUCUGCAGCGUAGAUCCUUCGGGGCUAAAUGCAUUUGUGCUAAGUUAUAGCAUUUUAUAGACAACUUGUUGACUAUGAUUUGUCUUGUAGCUUACUCGCUUAUGUUAUUUUACCUACGCUUAGGAUGUUGAGCGCAUGUCUCUCUCU
rnacentral:rRNA from 1 species